CAGCGAUUUGGCCAGCGGCUGGGUCAACGGAACUUUUUACAUGGAUCCUUUCAUGGGCCAGAGUUCGGGCAAUUAUUCAAUAUUACCCGAACGCCAGCCCACUCACGGUCAACCAAUUAAGAUUUCUUCAGCAACAACACACUGGUCCUCGACCAGUUAUUUGACGACGGCAACGCAAAUCCUGAUAUCACUCGAGGCGAUGGAGUUUACUCUCGUUAUUUCGGUAAAUACUUUAGAGGCAAUGGAACUUAUUCCAUCACACUAUCCGUCGACGCCAUGGACGGAAGACACGAUCCGCACAUCUCCGACCUCCCAACAAAUUGUUAAUUUCGAAUUAGAUUGAAUUUUAAAAUGGAAUCAGCUUUUUUAAAAUUUGAAUUUUUUCUAAAAUAGAUUCGGUUGAAUGCUGCGGGAAGCGUGAUUCGAGUGCCACUAGAACGCUGGAACGCUGACAGGAGCUUUUAGUCGACUGGUUCCGGGUGAAGUUAUCAGCGCCGGACUUUUCGUGGAUCCGUGCAUCUCUUGAUUUUCAUUUCGACAAUAUCCCUUGCUUGCGCAGUCCAGUCCAACUAUAAGAUAAGAUGCGCGGUAAACCGUAAAUUAUAUCAACUAAAAAUAAUAUUCCAUCAUGUGACCGCUAGAUGGCUAAAGUAUUCAGAAACACGAGAUAAUGAAAACAUACAAAA